GAAAAAUUAGUUAAUUAUAACAUUAGAAUGUCAAACUAAAAUUAUCAAAAAAAUUGAUAUUUUUCA
rnacentral:tRNA from 1 species